rnacentral:lncRNA from 1 species
GGCUAGUACUUUUUGUAUCCAAAAUCCAUGUUCUGCCUAUAUCUACUACAGCUCUUCCCUCUGUCUGCCUUCUGUGCUAUUCAAACAUGUCACCUCGUAUCUCUAAAUAUGCUAUCAGUUACAAAAGCCACCAACCAAAUAAGGAGAUUUAAACUUAAAUUAAUUAAAAUCACAUUAAAAAUUUAGCCCUUCAGACAUGCUAGGCAGAUUUCAAAUAAUCAACAGCAAAAUGUGGCUAGUGGCUACUAUAUUAUUGGAUGGUACAGAAACAGAACAUCUUCAUCAUUGUAGACAGUUCUAGACAGCAGCGAUAUAGAGCAGGGCUUUUCAAUGGGCCAGUUGAAAAGGGGGCAUUUUUUGGAAUCUAGUGGGGUACUGUCAGUUUUCACAAUAAUUUCAUAAGAAAAUAAUACAUAAUAAAAAUUGCUCUACUUUCUCAUAAUUUUGUAUUAUCUUGUAAAAUAUUUAAACAGACAAAAGUCCUAUUUGUAGUUAUCUGAGUCUAGAACUGAACUGUUAAAUAUACAAUGCAAAUAGUUUUAAUAUUACAAGAGCAAAGUAAACUCAAAGAAAGAAGGGAGGAAAUAAUAAAGAAAAUAACAAAAUUAGUAAAAUUGAAAACUAACAAACAAUUCAAAAACAGAAAAAAAAAUCAAACCAAAGAGUUGUCUGUUUGAAAAAAAAAUAAGAUGGCUAAAUUUCUAAGAAAAAUGACAGAGAGAAACAGAGGGGGAAGAUAUAAAUUACCAAUAUCAAGAAUAAAAGAGAAAACACAUUACAGAUACCCACAGGCUUUAAAAAGAUGAAGAACUACU